UUUUACGCCCCUGUUAUUCCUCAUGUGUCCAGUAGGGGGAGGCUGUAUAUUAGUAUAUGAGCCUAGUCAUAUAUCAGAACCGUAUGAUAGCAGCAGACCUUCUUGAAGCAAUACGAAUUGACCCCUGGAAUUUUAGAAAAGUUACAUUGUGUUUGUCUUCAUAAAAUGCUAUGUAGGACAUGUCUUGUUGCUGUAUGACGACCUAUUGUGAAUUGUACAGCAGAUAUUUAAUUAAGAUCCAUAUUACACAGUAGCCUACUUUUUUAUGCUAAUGGCCUAAAUAUGGUUAAUAUUUAAAUGUAACUUAAUAUAAAUUCACAACAUCAUAUAUCAGUCAGUCUCUUGUAUAUAAAAACAGUUUAUAAAUAAAUAUAAAUAGAUAUGUGUAAAGUCAUCAUGCGCCGCUUCCGGGUCCAAUCGAUUUCAAAUGCUGAAAACACGCUAAUACACUCGUAUCAUAAUACAAAACUAUUUAAACCCAUGAUCCUUAUUUUUAUUUCCAAUAAUAAAAACCAAGAUGACCAGACCUGGACUAUAUGGAUUUUUUUACUGUCUGUGGUUCCGUAGUGUGCAGACUGCAGUGUACACUGUAAGUUUACAAUUUUCGUUUAAAUGUGUAAUAUUAAUAAAUAGUGCUCAUAAACGGUUGUUUAAAUAGGCUAGUAUCCUAGUUGUAUUUCCCUCUUCCCACUACUGGAAGCACGAGGAGCAACAGGGGCGCAAAACUGCCAGGGGCGUAAAACUGCCAGGGGCGUAGAUCUACCGGCUCCAGGUCUGCAGCCUCCCCAUAUAGACAUACUCAGAGUUGACUUGCCACUGACUUGAACUCAGAUCAGCUGUUCUGGAACUGAAAACUCAGUUUCACUUAAACAGGGUAAGUCAACUCAGAGUUCAGGGUUAGGCUCAGAGUUUGUUGAGCCUCCUUUCUGGAAUACCCCCAUAACCUGUUUAUGAAGUUUACUUGAGUUGUUAUUCUUCAAACUUUCAUGUAGAAAUUACAUGAAUAAAAAAAGUAUAAAGCAUUCAACUAAACAAAAAGUAUGCGAACAGAUAGGUGUGAAACUAACAUAAGAUAUCAGCAAAUGUAAAGAAAAUAGUUUAAACAUAUAGGUUAGUUGCAGGCUACCCAGAUAGCAGACGGACUCGGCCCGAAUGUGGCCUCAUGAUGGCACUGCUGGCGUGCUGCCGGCAACGGCAUGCAACAUGUCAGCCAAGUAUGGGCCAGGUGUGGCAAUGAUGGCACUGGAUCCAUGAUGGCAGAUAAUAUUUGGGCCAGUUGUGGAUGGGAUGUAUGUGGCCCAGAUCAGUGUAGUGAUUUUGGCCCAGAUCAGUCUAGUGAUUGUAAGCCACAUUUAAAAUACUGAUUUAUAAUAAAUAAUUAUAAGAAUUGAUAGAUUUUCAGGCUAUCUUAAUCUUAAUGUUAAUUUAACCUUUAUUAAAUGAAAUGUUAGUUUUGUAUUAAAAGAAACGAAUAUAUUUGGACAAUAAUGUUUAUCUACAUUUCAAUCACAUAAACUUGCCUUCAGAUCAUGGGUCAAGAUAAUUUUGUUCAAAUGACCCUGAACUUCCAGAAGUUUUUCUUUCUGAAUUUAAAAGUUUCUAUAACGUUGCUUUGAGAAGCACGUGGAUCGUUUCUAUUUAAACGUGCUUUUGCGCGAUUUUCAUUGUAGCAGGGGUUUAUUCCUGCUGAAGAUUUCUGACUUCAAUGACUAAGUAAAACUAUCAUUGUGUACAAUCAAAUGUUAGAUACUGCAGAAAUAAACAAUAUGUUCACUGUGCUUUUGCCUGCCGAAGUGUUAAAAAAGAUACAAAUCUUUGUAUCGGUUAUCCUUCGCGUUACGUUAAGGAUGCGCAGUUUAUUUAUGAAGUGCAACAAGAACAUACACGCGGAUGACAUCAAAGUACUGCGAGAGCGACUCGAAAGAUCAUGGACAGCAUUCUGAUUUCAAAUCACUCUCGCGGUAUUUUAACGUCAAUCGUCAUUACGUUGAACACCUUGUCAAAAAUGAUUGAGUUGGCCAAUCAAAUCAAAAAAGGCGAGUGCCACUGGCCAAUCACGAGGUUUCCUGUUAACGGAAGCCGAGCGGCGGCCAAUCAAAUUAACCAAUAGGCGGGGUUACCGUCGGAGUAGCAGUUACACCGCGUCAAUCAAUCAUAACGGACACAGAUUUCAAAGGCAGCAUGAUGAAAGAUAACCAACAUGAAGACUCUGGAGUGGGACAAGAAGGAUGAAGGAUGAUGGGGUGUAUAUUCCAAUAGACACAUCAAGUGAAAGCUGAUAAAUACAGAGGGCUGGACAGUGGUUUCAUUGAUUAAGUAAAGAGGUGGGACAAGGAUGCUGACAGGACAGGAGGAGGUGACAUUCAGACAUUCAGCACAGACAUUUUCAUCCAAAGCAACUUGAGCAAGAAAACAGAAGCAGUUCAUCCUAAAAAGUGGGCUGCUGUAAUGUUUACAUCUAUGGAAAGAGGAGCUGAGAAGAAAAGAGAGGCUGGAAAGCAGUACUUCUUGUUGAGGACAAUCCUGAAUAGGAACACUUUCUCAUACACAUAGAUUAUUAUUAGUGUUUGAUUUUUUUCUUUAUGAAUUGUAUUGUUUUCAUUUUUCGUUUUAUUUGAAAUUACCUAAGUUAGAUUCAUGCUAAUACUUCAACUGAAACUUGUAUCUUUGCUGGCUGGCUGUAGAGUUGGUUUCACAUACACAUGAAGUUUCUAAUUAACUAACUUUUAAGUUCAGUUUGGUUUAAACUUGUAUUUACCCAUGGUAAUUCAUUUAAAUUUCAAUUCAUGCUAAUAUAUUAAUUUCAAUUAACUUCUGUAUUUGUGUAUAGCUGGCAAUUUGGGCAAACUACAUUUUACACAUCAAUCUAACUGUCAAAAAGUUUUUUUUUUAUUAUCAGUUUGUUCUAAACUUUUGUUUGUUUACUAAGGAUGAAAUUGCUUUGUAAUUUAAGUUGUUGGUGUUAGAUUCAUGCCAAUAAUGUAUUUGAACAAACUAGUGUUUUUGUUUAUUGCUGGCAGUUUAUACUAGAAGAGUUUUAACACAUACAAUGUUGUGUUAUAUUGACUUGUGUGCUAUUGAUUAAUUAAAAGGCAAACAAUUUGAAAGUAAUUUUUCUUGUGAUUUAUUUAUUAAUAUAAUUUGGGCAAGAUUAGGCUGAGUUAUGGCUCAGUUUUGGAAGU